rnacentral:rRNA from 1 species
GACGAACGCUGGCGGCGUGCCUAAUACAUGCAAGUUGAGCGCUGAAGGUUGGUACUUGUACCAACUGGAUGAGCAGCGAACGGGUGAGUAACGCGUGGGGAAUCUGCCUUUGAGCAGGGGACAACAUUUGGAAACGAAUGCUAAUACCGCAUAAAAACUUUAAACACAAGUUUUAAGUUUGAAAGAUGCAAUUGCAUCACUCAAAGAUGAUCCCGCGUUGUAUUAGCUAGUUGGUGAGGUAAAGGCUCACCAAGGCGAUGAUACAUAGCCGACCUGAGAGGGUGAUCGGCCACAUUGGGACUGAGACACGGCCCAAACUCCUACGGGAGGCAGCAGUAGGGAAGCUUCGGCAAUGGACGAAAGUCUGACCGAGCAACGCCGCGUGAGUGAAGAAGGUUUUCGGAUCGUAAAACUCGGUCGGUAGAGAAGAACGUUGGUGAGAGUGGAAAGCUCAUCAAGUGACGGUAACUACCCAGAAAGGGACGGCUAACUACGUG